rnacentral:rRNA from 1 species
GAUGAACGCUAGCGGCAGGCUUAAUACAUGCAAGUCGUGGGGCAGCAUGAGUGUAGCAAUACAUUUGAUGGCGACCGGCAAACGGGUGCGGAACACGUACAGAACCCUCCUUCAAGCAGGGCAUAGCCCAGAGAACUUUGGAUUCAUACCCCAUAAUAUAAUGAAGAGGCAUCGAUUGGUUAUUAAAGAUUUAUCACUUGAAGCUGGGUGCGCGGCUGAUUAGGUAGUUGGCGGGGUAACGGCCCACCAAGCCGGCGAUCAGUAACAGGUGUGAGAGAAAGACCAGUCACACGGGCAUGGAGAAACGGGCCCGACUCCUACGGGAGGCAGCAGUAAGGAAUAUUGGUCAAUGGACGCAAGUCUGAACCAGCCAUGCCGCGUGGAGGAUGAAGGUCCUCUGGAUUGUAAACUUCUUUUAUAUGGGACGAAAAAAGGCUUUUCUAAGUCGUCUGACGGUACCAUAUGAAUAAGCACCGGCUAACUCCGUGCCAGCAGCCGCGGUAACAC